UACGUAGGGACCGAGCGUUGUCCGGAUUCAUUGGGCGUAAAGAGCUCGUAGGCGGCUGUUCAAGUCGAACGUGUAAACUCGGAGCUCAACUCCGAGCCUGCGUUCGAUACUGGACGGCUAGAGUCUGGUAGGGGGAUCUGGAAUUCCUGGUGUAGCGGUGAAAUGCGCAGAUAUCAGGAGGAACACCGGUGGCGAAGGCGGGUCUCUGGGCCGAUACUGACGCUGAGGAGCGAAAGCGUGGGGAGCGAACAGG
rnacentral:rRNA from 1 species